CCGAAGCGAAGCGCCAGCCCCCGCUGCGCUGGUGCCCGGGCAGCGCGGGAGGAGGCCGGGCCGGGCGGAGCGGGGCGGGCCGGGCCGAGGCGCCGGAAGGUCCCGGCAGGCGCCGCGCUGCCCGUGAUGGCUGCCGAGGUGUCAUUUCAGAAUUCACUUGAUUCAAUAUGGCUUUGAUUAGCCGAAAAGGCUUCCAGUUGUAUUCAUCCAGCACACCAGCAAGCAGGUCUGCUUUGAUGACCCUAAGCAAAAGGUUGAACUCCAUCAGUGGGCAGCGAAAACCCCAAAACUAUAGCUCCGUGGCCAUGAGGAUGCUGUGUGUCAAAGAUAAAUCUCAGUAUACGUUUUGUAGGAAAAAACAUGUACAACUGCAAGUGCAGCCACUUUCUGUUAAUGAAGCUGUGCAUCUUUGUGGAGAUAUGAUGAACUGUACUAAAUCAAAUAAUGUGUGGAUGGAUGAACAAUUAUUUUUCAAGAAGUUGAACAACCUUUGUACAUCAAAAGAGAUUUUUUAUUUUCUUAGCUCUCUAGAGGUCAUGUCUGAUACAAUGGCCUCAGGAGCCCUGCAGAAGAUUUCUGAAGUUGAGGUGGAUGACAAUGGUCUUAAAAACCCUGGACUGUUAGAGAAUGAAGUUUUCAGGGCAUUAUGCUUCCAGUUUGAAUUUGAAUCCUCAAAACUGUCAAACACGGGGCUGCUGAAUGCCUUGCAGGCUUUGAUAAAACUCCGUAUAGAUCCGCAGAGCACGCUGAUGACAAGCCUGCUUUUGGAGAGCGAGGAGCGGCUUGGCAGGGGACAGCUGACUGCUGAAAAUCUGUGUGCUCUUGGAGAGAGUUUGCUUGAGUUAGAAGCCCCAAGUUGUGCGACACUGGAACAAAUUGUGAACCACAUGCAAGAAAGAGAUAUGAAGAGUUGGAGUCCCAGGGAAAUAGUGAUGGUUUAUAGGAUACUGCAGGUGACUGUGAAGGAAGGGAAACAAUGCCAAAAGUUACUAAACAGACUGAACAGUGUCACUUUACGCACAGUUUCCCAACUAAGCCCAAACUCUGUAAGUGUAAUACUGAAUUCACUGGUAGUUCUUCAUCAGACUCGAGCAGUUGUCUUAGUCACUGCACUGUGUAAACAUUCAGAGAAGCAUGUUCCCUAUUUCACAGAUCAUGAACUGGUAAAUGUACUGGAAGCUUUCCUGUACUUUGGGCAAAAAAUGCAAAUUUUUACAGAGGCACUGGAAAGACAUGUCCCCAAGUCCAUCCACGCUAUGCAUCCUCAAACGGUCAGCAAGGUCAUGCAGUAUUGCUGCAAAAAGAUGAUCCUUUCAAAGCCCAUCUUUGAUGCAGUGGCAGAAGAUUUCAUUUCCAGUGCUGACAGACUUACCACUGAGCAGAUUGCUGCGUAUAUUAUCCCGUUUGGGACUCUUAACUAUCUGCCUCCAAGUGCUUCUUCCUUGUUUAGGAAGCUUGAAACUGUGCUGCACACCCGCCUGAGGCACUUUCAGCCCCACACCUUGCUCAGCCUGCUACACUCGUGUGUCCUUAUUCAACGUUAUCCAAUAAAUUUCCUGCCAAAAAUAUUUAGUCCCUAUUUUCUGCAAAAGCUUCAAGCUCAGCCACCUGGUCUGAACAGAGUUGUUAUGUCCCAGCUAACCCAGCUUUUUCUGACUGUCACCCUGGAGUGCCCAUUUUAUGAGGGUCCAAAACUCCUUUCUAAGUACCAGGUAAAGGCCUUUCCCACGCCUCAGAGUUCUCCUGAUGUUCAUCUCUUUAAAAGAGUGAAGACGGGAUUACUUUAUUUACUGAAAAAAAGAAUAUAUUUUGCAUCAGAGGUAUCAACACCGUAUUUCUAUGUAGUUGAUAUUGAGAUUAAAUUAGAUGAAGAAGGUUUUGUAUUGCCUGCGGCCCAACUUGAAGAGGUACACAGACGAAUUGCCCUGUGUGUUGAUGGUCAAAAUAGAUUUUGUGCUCAUAGUCACAAUCUCUUGGGAGAAGAAGCUAUUAAACAGAGACAUCUUCAGUUACUUGGUUAUGAAGUUGUGCAGAUUCCAUUUUUUGAGAUAGAAAAUCUAAAAAAUACCACAAAAAUAGCAGAUUAUCUACACAAAAAAAUCUUUCCUUGUACAUAUGGACUCAGCAACUGACACUGGAGAAUACUACUGGACAACAGGCUGACCUAUACUACAAAGUGUAAAUUCUGUGCAUGGAAGAAAAGCUAUUUUUUUCUAAGUAACUCCACCUCAGAAAAUCAAGCAAGAAAUUGAAGAAGAGCGGAAAUGGCUUUGCAAACGUUUAUGAGAACUUAUCAAUAAUACAGAAGAAAUUGUCAGGGUGUUCUUUUGACACUGAGCACUGAAGGAAGAAGUGAACUAUUCAGAACUGAAUGAGAAACAAGUAGUGGGAAGAACAGUCUGUGAAAGAUCUUCAAAAGUGAGUAGGGAUGAGAAGGGUAUGACACAAGCAAAUAAAUUAUUUAGGAAAACUCAAACUGGUGUUUUGAUGUUUGACUUCCUCUGUGGUGGAAGUGAUACCUGUUUCUCACACAGGCCAGAAGGUGGUGCUAUUUUCAAACAAAUUUCAUUUCCAAUAGUUUUUCAAACACAGAUGGUUUGUAAAUAUAGUAAGGCUACUUCAAAAAAAGCAAUUUGUACUGACUGUCCCAAAGUAAAAAUAACCUGCUAAGAAUAUGGCCAUAUUCAAUCUCAUUCUUCACUAGUAUAACUUUGAUAUUGAUUUUUGGAAAAGCAGUAUGGUAUUAGAAAACAUUUCCUUCUCCCUUUGUUCUUCGUAUGAUUCCUUUCAUUUAAUGCUGCUGAAUUUGUUUAGUGAAGUAUUUAUAUUUGAAAAGGAAUGUAGCCUUUAAUGUCCUUUUGUCCAUAGCCCAUUGAGUGUAGAAGAACUGCAGGUCGUGAAUAAUGAAAGUAACAAACAUCUCUCAGAAUGGGCUGCUCUCUGUGCUCUGCUUCUCACAUCAUGUCAAACAAGUGCUACUGAUUGCCUAAUUUAUUACUUUUUCAGGUUCCAGAUUUAGAAGGUUUUUGUUUCUUUAUUUUUUCUUUCCACUAGAUGUCUCACUGUAUUUACAAAUAACAGAUUUCCUGUGUCCAAAUACCUGACAAAACCAGUGUCAGUCACAGCUGUGGACUUCCAGUCCUUUUUCUGGUAUGAUCACUUUGGCUGUUCCUUUCUGAACAAUACUGCCUCAGCCUUAAACAACAACAGGAUCAAUGGCUCUUGAGAACCAAACUGAUGCAUACUCUGCAGGAGACACUUCUAAAAUUACCUUAAAAUUUUAGUACUGGAUUCUGUGAAAGCACAAGGCAUCAAAUGUUUCAUCAGAUUUAGACAUUUGUGCUAAACAUGCUUUUUAAAUGGCUAC